ACUGUACAUCAGAUGUCAGUUGAAUUAAAACGUGGAGAAACGCUUCCAAUCCAUAUAAAUAUUACAUUCCCCUCUUUGCCUUGUGAUGUUCUAAGCGUCGAUGCAAUCGAUAUGUCGGGGAAGCAUGAAGUUGAUCUUGACACAAAUAUAUGGAAGGUUAGGAGAAGGGCUUAGUUACAAUGCAAGAUGCAGAGAUAGCC